rnacentral:rRNA from 1 species
CGCCUACGGGGGGCAGCAGUGGGGAAUAUUGCACAAUGGGGGAAACCCUGAUGCAGCGACGCCGCGUGAGUGAAGAAGUAUCUCGGUACGUAAAGCUCUAUCAGCAGGGAAGAAAAUGACGGUACCUGACUAAGAAGCCCCGGCUAACUACGUGCCAGCAGCCGCGGUAAUACGUAGGGGGCAAGCGUUAUCCGGAUUUACUGGGUGUAAAGGGAGCGUAGACGGCAGCACAAGUCUGGAGUGAAAGGCGGGGGCCCAACCCCCGGACUGCUCUGGAAACUGUAAAGCUGGAGUGCAGGAGAGGG